rnacentral:rRNA from 1 species
GAUGAACGCUAGCGGCAGGCCUAACACAUGCAAGUCGAGGGGCAGCACGGAUUGCUUGCAAUCUGGUGGCGACCGGCGCACGGGUGCGUAACGCGUAUACAACCUACCUUUUAGCGGGGAAUAGCCCAGGGAAACUUGGAUUAAUGCCCCAUAGUAUAUAGACUUCUCCUGAAGUUUAUAUUAAACAUUUAUGGCUAUUAGAUGGGUAUGCGUCCUAUUAGUUAGUUGGUAAGGUAACGGCUUACCAAGGCAGCGAUAGGUAGGGGUCCUGAGAGGGAGAUCCCCACACUGGUACUGAGACACGGACCAGACUCCUACGGGAGGCAGCAGUGAGGAAUAUUGGACAAUGGGCGAGAGCCUGAUCCAGCCAUGCCGCGUGCAGGAAGACUGCCCUAUGGGUUGUAAACUGCUUUUACAGAGGAAGAACCACUCCCACGUGUGGGGGUUUGACGGUACUCUGCGAAUAAGGAUCGGCUAACUCCGUG